UACGUAGGUGGCAAGCGUUAUCCGGAAUUAUUGGGCGUAAAGAGCGCGCAGGUGGUUGAUUAAGUCUGAUGUGAAAGCCCACGGCUUAACCGUGGAGGGUCAUUGGAAACUGGUCGACUUGAGUGCAGAAGAGGGAAGUGGAAUUCCAUGUGUAGCGGUGAAAUGCGUAGAGAUAUGGAGGAACACCAGUGGCGAAGGCGGCUUCCUGGUCUGUAACUGACACUGAGGCGCGAAAGCGUGUGGAGCAAACAGGAUUAGA
rnacentral:rRNA from 1 species